rnacentral:rRNA from 1 species
GACGAACCGUGCAAACGUUGUUCGGAAUCACUGGGCGUAAAGCGCACGUAGGCGGAUUGUUAAGUCAGGGGUGAAAUCCCGAGGCUCAACCUCGGAACUGCCUUUGAUACUGGCAAUCUCGAGUCCGGAAGAGGUGAGUGGAAUUCCUAGUGUAGAGGUGAAAUUCGUAGAUAUUAGGAAGAACACCAGUGGCGAAGGCGGCUCACUGGGGCCGGUACUGACGCUGAGGAGCGAAAGCGUGGGGAGCGAACAGG